UGGUCCAGCCUCCUUCCUCGCAAUGAGAAUCACCUACGCUUCUCACUUACCUUACGUACCUUUGCGAGAAUCACCUACGCUUCUCACUUACCUUACGUACCUUUGCGAGAAUCACCUACGCUUCUCACCUUCCUUACGUACCCUAUCUAUAAAUACAGUGGGAUUUUCAAGAAAGAGGAAUGGAAGUGGGUAAGGGUUAAGGCCUUUUACUCCUUCCCUCGGUGUCAUCUCAAAUUCUGCGCAUUAUCGUGAUAGAGAGUAAUCUGUCUUCUUUGUAGAGACAUAGCAGCACACCAUCAGAAGAAGAAUUGCAGGAAGAAAUAGGGAAAAGGAUAAUCGUGGAGAUUCAACUAUCAAGAUUAUCUUUCUUUGAUUCAGAACUUAAAUGAGGAAUUAUGGAGGUGACGACGAGUAGUCUCCAAGAUUAAGGAAAGCAAUAGAAAUGGAUAUGUAUCUUGGUUUAAAGCAAAUUAAAAGCUAUGUUCUGUAAGCAUAAUAAUGUGGUGGCUGAUUAUUGCAGUCACAGGUUUUGUACAAAAAGAAUGUGGAUGCCAUGAACAAACUUUCACAAAUCAAAGAACAGAUUACUCACUUUCGAUCUUUGUACCCCCUUGAUUAGAAUCAAGAAAUUUUGCAAAUUAUAAUAUGAUAAUUUGUAUCUUUCUUUGAAUCA